rnacentral:piRNA from 1 species
UGAUCACAGCCCCCAACUUCGGAGCC